GCAAUUUCAUGCUUCUAGACACGAUGUCGGCAUUCCAGGACAGCAGCAGAAAGUGUAGAAAAAUAAAAAAGUCCUACCUCCCUAAUGAGUCAACUGCACUUAAGGAGCCAUCCCAGAAGUUUCACACAGUUGCGGAGGCCAAAAGUCUGAAAACAAGGUGUCUGCAGGACCAACCUCUCUUCUGGAUGCUCUAGGUGAGAAUCUUUUCCAUGCCUUUCUCUUAGCUUCUGAUGUUGCCAUCAGAACUUCAGAUGGUGUUCCUUGGCAUCUAUUAAUAUUAAUACAUCAAUCCUUUUCAGUCUCAGCUUCUGUCUUCACAUGGCCCACUCCACGUCCUAUCUGUUUCUCUUCCCUCUUCUUGUAAAGAUAAGCCAUGUUAUUGUAAGC
rnacentral:lncRNA from 1 species